GAACAGAGCGUUGGAAGGUAGGG
rnacentral:miRNA from 1 species